rnacentral:rRNA from 1 species
AGUCACUGACAUUAGAUACCCGGGUAGUCCCAGCCGUAAACUAUGCGCGUUAGGUGUACUGGUGACCACGAGUCACCGGGGUGCCGAAGGGAAACCGUGAAACGUGCCGCCUGGGAAGUACGGUCGCAAGGCUGAAACUUAAAGGAAUUGGCGGGGGGAGCACCGCAACGGGAGGAGCGUGCGGUUUAAUUGGAUUCAACACCGUAAAACUCACCAGGGAAGACUGUUACAUGAAGGCCGAGAUGAAGACUCUGCUAGAUUUUCAG